AUACGGAGGAUCCGAGCGUUAUCCGGAUUUAUUGGGUUUAAAGGGUGCGCAGGCGGGAGAUUAAGUCGGCGGUGAAAUUUUGCAGCUCAACUGUAAAAGUGCCUUCGAAACUGGUUUCCUUGAGUGUAGAUGAAGUAGGCGGAAUUUGUGGUGUAGCGGUGAAAUGCAUAGAUAUCACGAGGAACUCCGAUUGCGCAGGCAGCUUACUAAACUACUACUGACGCUCAGGCACGAAGGCGUGGGGAUCAAACAGGAUUAGAUACCCUGGUAGUCCACGCAGUAAACGAUGAUUACUAGCUGUUUGCGAUACAAUGUAAGCGGCUGAGCGAAAGCGUUAAGUAAUCCACCUGGGGAGUACGUUGCAAGAAUGAAACUCAAAUGAAUUGACGGGG
rnacentral:rRNA from 1 species